CCUACGGGAGGCAGCAGUGAGGAAUAUUGGUCAAUGGCCGAGAGGCUGAACCAGCCAAGUCGCGUGAGGGAAGACGGCCCUACGGGUUGUAAACCUCUUUUGUCGGGGAGCAAAGCGAGUCACGUGUGACUCAUUGAGAGUACCCGAAGAAAAAGCAUCGGCUAACUCCGUGCCAGCAGCCGCGGUAAUACGGAGGAAGCGAGCGUUAUCCGGAUUUAUUGGGUUUAAAGGGUGCGCAGGCGGAGGUGCAAGUCAGCGGUCAAAUUGCGGGGCUCAACCCCGUACUGCCGUUGAAACUGCAGCCCUUGAGUGCGCGAGAAGUAGGCGGAAUGCGUGGUGUAGCGGUGAAAUGCAUAGAUAUCACGCAGAACUCCGAUUGCGAAGGCAGCAUACCGGCGCGCAACUGACGCUCAUGCACGAAAGCGUGGGUAUCGAACAGGAUUAGAUACCCCUGUAGUC
rnacentral:rRNA from 1 species